AACGAACGCUGGCGGCGUGCCUAACACAUGCAAGUCGAACGAGAAAGGGGCUUCGGCUCCGAGUAAAGUGGCGCACGGGUGAGUAACACGUGGGUAACCUGCCUCUAAGAUUGGGAUAACUCGUCGAAAGAUGAGCUAAUACCGAAUAAGACCACAGUUCCCGCGGGAACAGGGGUCAAAGGUAGCCUCUGCUUGCAAGCUAUCACUUAGAGAUGGGCCUGCGCACCAUUAGCUAGUUGGUAGGGUAACGGCCUACCAAGGCAAAGAUGGUUAGCUGGUCUGAGAGGAUGAUCAGCCACACUGGAACUGAGACACGGUCCAGACUCCUACGGGAGGCAGCAGUGGGGAAUAUUGCGCAAUGGGCGAAAGCUUGACGCAGCAACGCCGCGUGAGUGAUGAAGGCCUUCGGGUCGUAAAGCUCUGUCGGGAGGAACGAAUGCUCCUGAGGUUAACAGCCUCGGGAGGUGACGGUACCUUCAAAGGAAGCACCGGCUAACUCUUUG
rnacentral:rRNA from 1 species